rnacentral:pre_miRNA from 1 species
CAUCAGGAGGUCUUGUUAAAAUGCAGAUUCUAAUUCUGCAGGUCUGAGAUGCUGCAGUCUUUGGUGUUCCUGGGUGAUG